AUGCCCAGCUAAUUUUUAAAAAAUUUUAUCCAUUAUUAUUAUUUUUAAGACAGAGCUUUGCUCCUGUCAUCCAGGCUAGAGUGCAGUGGUGCCAUCUUGGCUCACUGCAACCUCUGCCUCCCAGGUUCAAGCAAUUCUCCUGCCUCAACCUCCUGAGUAGCUGGGAUUACAGGCAUCCGCCACCAUUUUUGUAUUUUUAGUAGAGAUGGGGUUUCACCAUGUUGGCCAGGCUGGUCUCGAAAUCCUGACCUCAGGUGAUCCGCCCGCCUCAGCCUCCCAAAGUGCUGGGAUUACAGGCGUGAGCCACCGCGCCCAGCCUAAUUUUUACAUUUUUCAUAGAGACAGGCUCUCACCAGGUUGCAUAGACUGGUCUCAAAUUCUUAGGCUCAAGUGAUCCUCCCACCUGGGCCUCCCAAAGUGCUGAGAUUCACAGGCGUGAGCCACUGUGCCUGGCCAGAAUCAAUUUUUUAAAAGUAUCUUUCUAUCAAAUGAAUUUUUACAUUUUUUAUUGGGAGACAGGACCCUUGCCUACAAACACAUAAACCAUAGUUCAGAUAUUAUUCUAGGCAUAAUUUUAGAAGGCUUAGUUAUCUGCUGUCAUACCCUAGAAAAAAAGUGAAAGGAUGAGAGGCUGGGAAGAUAGGAAGAUAAGCAUGCUAGAAACAGACUUGCGGACUGCUGGGUGAGCACUAUUAGAGCAGCCAGGCACACAGCACCCACCUGGUGCCCUGUCCUCUGCCGCGGCCCAGGCCUCCCUGGUGCCCAUGGACAGGUAUCAGAGCACCUCCAAUGAGAAAACCUUACUAAAGAAACUAACAGGGUAGUGACACGAUUUCGUAAGUGCUAUUAAAAAGCAGGGCGACCACUGCCACAGUCCUAAUAACUAAGUUAGAAGGCCUCCUCAC
rnacentral:lncRNA from 1 species